rnacentral:rRNA from 1 species
GACGAACGCUGGCGGCGUGCUUAACACAUGCAAGUCGAACGGAAAGGCCCUGCUUUUGUGGGGUGCUCGAGUGGCGAACGGGUGAGUAACACGUGAGUAACCUGCCCUUGACUUUGGGAUAACUUCAGGAAACUGGGGCUAAUACCGGAUAGGAGCUCCUGCUGCAUGGUGGGGGUUGGAAAGUUUCGGCGGUUGGGGAUGUACUCGCGGCUUAUCAGCUUGUUGGUGGGGUAGGGGCUUACCAAGGCUUUGACGGGUGGCCGGCCUGAGAGGGUGACCGGCCACAUUGGGACUGAGAUACGGCCCAGACUCCUACGGGAGGCAGCAGUGGGGAAUAUUGUACAACGGGCGGAAGCCUGAUGCAGCAACGCCGCGUGCGGGAUGACGGCCUUCGGGUUGUAAACCGCUUUCGCCUGUGACGAAGCGUGAGUGACGGUAAUGGGUAAAGAAGCACCGGCUAACUACGUG